GGGCGCCCCACCCCACCGCGCCCCCAUAGGCAGUGGGCGCAGACGCAGGCUUGAUCGGCCCUCUCUGGUUGUUUCUGCCCAACCCAUCUCUUUCCUUCUUCUGUAUUCUGUCGUUUUCUUCUUGGAACACAAUUUCCGUUUCUUGUUUCUAAGUACACUUUUCUUUUUUCAAACCCGAGUGUAAGAGCCUUCUAGGAGGCCGAAGAACUAUGCUGGUGAAACAGUUUCCAGAGGGGAUGCGUGCACGCAUAUACACCGGGAGGGAGAGAAGACAGAACUUCUGUUAAGGCCACUGUAUGGGAGAGAUGGAGAAAGUGUUCUAGGCAGAGGCCAGAUCUAUGUAAAGGCCCAGCAGCAAGAAAGAAAAGAAACUGUGGCUUAGAGGGAGAAAAAUGGCUUCAAGAUAAAAACUGGAGAGCUAUAGGAUCAAAUGAGGCUUUAAGGACCAGAGUAAGGACUGGCCUUUCCAGUUGAGGCCUGAGGGCAGCAAGUAGCUCGGGGGAGGGUGGGGUGUCAAGCUGGUCCUGGCUGGGUCACAAAGCUGGGACCUAUGAUCCAGGCUUUGAAGUGUCGAGGCAAGUAGCCACCCAGAACUACUGGGUGGGGCUGAGAGAUAGAGAAGGGAACUGAAAUUCAUAAAGGAGAGAUGGGCACGCAAAGCAGAAGUGAUCAGAACGAAGGCUACACUUGGGCAAAAGAGGAUAUGCAGUAGGCUUCAGAAAUGAGUCCUCAUCUUGGCCAGGACCAGGAGACCUCAAAGUCAGCACACAGAUUCAAGCCCUGCUUUGUCUGUAUGGGACCCAGGGCAUUGGAUAUGGAGACAAAGAUGGAUGCUCCUCACCCAAAUCCCAGGCAUCAUGGCACACACCAGCCUGAGAUUCAGAUAUUGACACCUUCGUGCACACAGAUCUCAGAUUCUACUGCUGUUCUUGGCACCAGAGACCCAAUCCCAAGAGUAUACCUUGUGGAGGUCAAUUUACAUUGUCAACAUGCAGCAGGACCAGCUUUCCAAGCUCCCUGGAUCACAAUGGACUCUAUCUCCUCACACCACAAGUCAAAAUAACCCUUCCUUCAUUAAAUUACAUUUGUAAGGUA